CCCUUGUUUUCCUUGCUUGCUUAUUGCCAAAUAAAACAACAAAUUAAACACAAACUGCUGUAGUAAAAUGACCAGGAGCACAAGUGUCCUAGAUAGAAAAGGCCUGGUCAGCAUUUCUAUUUCCUAUAAGGAAGGCCUCUUCACUUGCAAAGAUGGGCUCUCGGAGAAACUUAACACUGUAUCGCAGUGACAACUUUCCCAUUUCACAGGCAAAAGAAUGUCCCACAUUUCCUUGACUAUGAUGGAAACAGGGACAAACACUCCUUAGGUGGUUACCUGCUCAGCAGGGAAAAUAAAAA
rnacentral:lncRNA from 1 species